rnacentral:rRNA from 1 species
CCUCCCUCUGGCGGCGUGCUUAACACAUGCAAGUCGAACGGAAAGGCCCUGCUUUUGUGGGGUGCUCGAGUGGCGAACGGGUGAGUAACACGUGAGUAACCUGCCCUUGACUUUGGGAUAACUUCAGGAAACUGGGGCUAAUACCGGAUAGGAGCUCCUGCUGCAUGGUGGGGGUUGGAAAGUUUCGGCGGUUGGGGAUGGACUCGCGGCUUAUCAGCUUGUUGGUGGGGUAGUGGCUUACCAAGGCUUUGACGGGUAGCCGGCCUGAGAGGGUGACCGGCCACAUUGGGACUGAGAUACGGCCCAGACUCCUACGGGAGGCAGCAGUGGGGAAUAUUGCACAAUGGGCGGAAGCCUGAUGCAGCAACGCCGCGUGCGGGAUGACGGCCUUCGGGUUGUAAACCGCUUUCGCCUGUGACGAAGCGUGAGUGACGGUAAUGGGUAAAGAAGCACCGGCUAACUACGUG